GACGAACGCUGGCGGCGUGCUUAACACAUGCAAGUCGAACGGAAAGGCCCUGCUUUUGUGUGGUUCUCGAGUGGCGAAGGGGUGUGUAACACGGGAGUAACCUGCCCUUGACUUUAGGAUAACUUCAGGAAACUGGGGCUAAUACCGGAUAGGAGCUCCUGCUGCAUGGUGGGGGUUGGACAGUUUCGGCGGUGGGGGAUGGACUCGCGGGUUAUCAGCUUGUUGGUGGGGUAGUGGCUUACCAAGGCUUUGACGGGUAGCCGGCCUGAGAGGGUGACCGGCCACAUUGGGACUGAGAUACGGCCCAGACUCCUACGGGAGGCAGCAGUGGGGAAUAUUGCACAAUGGGCGGAAGCCUGAUGCAGCAACGCCGCGUGCGGGAUGACGGCCUUCGGGUUGUAAACCGCUUUCGCCUGUGACGAAGCGUGAGUGACGGUAAUGGGUAAAGAAGCACCGGCUAACUACGUG
rnacentral:rRNA from 1 species